UUCAAACUAAACAUCCUUCACAUGAAUGGUUUCUUGUGAUUUUUUUCCCCCCACUUUGUCCUAAAAAUAGAGUGCAAGAGGGGAAACCAUGUUAAUUGAGGGUUCUGGUUAAUUGAAGUUUUUACUAUAAUUACCCAUUAUAAAAAUGAAGGGUUUGGGCAGAGAAUAGAUGCAUAGUCUUGGGCAUAUCUAAUUAUUACCUUGGCUUGUAAAUAGCCCUUUGGUGAAAAAGUGCUGUUUUAGAAAGAUGCUCAUUUCAGAAUUCCCUUUCAUAAAGCAACAAAGACAAUUAUCUUCAGUUCUCACUUGAGAGUCCAUAUACAUGAAAGGUAAUGUUGCCUGUGCCUUUUUCCCUAUUGAUUAGUGUUUUCAUUCAGCAGGGAGUAAAGAGGACAGAAUGGAUCAAAUUGUGACCGCAUUGGUUUCUCUUAACAUUGGCUCACUCACUCGCUCUCUCUCCCCCCUCCCCCAACCUUUCAAUGUAAGCAGAAAACACAUAAAGUCAAGUUGGCUAUUUUUUAAACUCAAGGGUUAUGUAUAUACAUUCAAGUUGCAGUCAUGGCCAAACGAGGGUUUUUAAAAAGAACAAUCUUCUUUGUGGCCACUAGAGGGUAUCGUAGACCUAACAAUCCUGUCUUGUUUCUAGUCCUUUCUUUUUCUUAGUCUCUAGGCACCAUCAUGUUUGUUGUGAAAUGGCCAGAACUUAGUAAGACUUUGUUGCUUACCACCCACCUCACUAGACUGUUCUCAGCUUUGUUGUCUUAACAGGUCACACUUCACCAAUACAAGUACUACCAGCAGGGACUCAUGCCUAUGGGGAUAACACAGUAAAAUUUUUUGAGGUGUGGUCUCAGAAAGAAAUUGUGUUGGAAAACUCCUCUGAGGACAAUAUAAUAAAACUGCCUGAUAAAGAAUCAGCUCUUGAACCUUCACUGUGACACCUGGGAGACAAGUUAUCUCAACCUUUGUUUAAGAUGCAAAAAGUACUCUGAAUUCUUUGUACAACUGUGACCAGAUUUCCAGUCUUUGAAAAAGAAGGGCAGAAGAUGACAAGGAAUGAACAGAUAACCGAAUGUAACUCGCCCUUUUCCAAUAAGAAACUUCCUGGGAAGGUGAUGGAUGAAGGGAUUGUUGCAUUGGUUCCUCCCAGGCAAGGCCACUCCAGAGGAACAACUUCAAGACCAGCAGGACUGGAGUUCCCAUUGUGGCUCAGCAGAAACGAAUCUAACUAGCAUCCAUGAGG